CGCUUCACUGGGGGUGAUUAGUUGCUUUUUGGUUUUUUUUUUUUUUAAUUUGGGCCAUGAGGAGGGGGAGGAGGGGCAGGUGCUGCAGGCUCCUCCCUCUCCCCACCUCCAGCCAGCUGCCCUGCGAGAUGCAGGGUCCAUGCGGCAGCUGGAGUGCAGCUGGAGGAGAGUGCACCACGGAGGCUGUGCUCAGAGAAGAGUGCAGCUCUCUGCCCCGCCCCUCCCUCUCAGCCUCAGUAGUAGCAGCAGCCCUGGAGGCUUGGAUGACUCUGAGAGCAGGGCUGCACAGAUUGGAGUUGAGGCUGAGACCUACACCACAGCUCACAGCAACACAGGAUCCUUAACCCACUGAGCUAGGCCAGGGAUUGAACUUUCAUCCUCAUGCAUAUGAGUCAGAUUAAUUUUCACUGAGCCAUGACAGGAAUUCCCUAAAUAUAUUUGUUAAUAAACCAAUGGCUCUCCAGACUUUUCAGUGUACUAAGUGCUAAAGCAAACAAGAGAUUCUUCUCAAAAUAUGUUGGUGGCUUGAGAGAUGUCAUUACCAAGUAGUGAUCUAUACAGAAGGGAGCUCUGAGAAGCCAAGAAGUCUGAGGAAAGGAGCACAUCAGAGUGAGAGUCUGGAAGGAGAACAUUGGUGACAGCAUCCUGGAGGAGCAUGCCAGUGGCAUAGUCCUGAAGGAGGACAACAGUCCUCAUAAUAUGUACUUCCAGCAUCUGUUGAAUGCCAGGACUGAGGAAGGAAAGCUCCUGGCAGGUGUUUACACAGGUCUUCCAAUACUUCAAGGAUGCUGGAUUUCUGAUUUCCUUGUGACUGUGGGACUUAGGGAAAACCUGGUUGGCAGCAAGCCAGGAUCGACAUACAGUCACAGGGAUCAAACCCUUAUGAAUCUGCUCCAAAUUUUUACUCAAAUGAACUUUCAAGGUUCUUUCUAUAUGUCUUCUAUCUGGGACCCUGGGGAAACACUUUGCAGAGUCUCUCUGCAAGGAUCUUUCUGAUACCAUCUCAGAGUUCAUUUCCAGAAACUUGUCUAGGAGGCUGGCCCUGGAGAGAUCUUUUGAGACCCUAAUCAGACAUGGCUCUAGAGCCUUGAUGAACUCCUUGCCUAGUUGGGUGGUCAUUUGGCACCUACUCUGGUAUCUGGUAGGGCUCCUAGACCUUGUCUUGUAUGGGCCCAGGCCACUACUGCCUGCAAGAGGAGAGGGCUGCCUUGGUCCUUGUCUGCCUUGUGCCAGAUGCAUGUUUACCAAUGGGCACUGAGAUGAAUUCAGUUCCAGAGACAGUUGAAUCCUGAGAGGCAGACUCCUGUUUUUUUGAUUUUCAAUGAGCCUCUUUUGAAGAUGUUGCUUCUGGAGAUGAGGACUGAUGAAGUCCCCUUGAAGAAAGGAAACGGACUUUCGGAUCUGGGAGCCCCUGCCAUCCACAGAGGUUCUACCCUCUUGCUGAUGAGGAUCUCCAGUGGCUUCUGGAUUGCAGGCUGACCAAUGAGGGGCCACUCAUCUCUACCCACCUGUCUGUGGGCCUUUCCCAGUUCGAGGCCUAUAGUGAAGGGAACUCUUGCUGGCCUCCCGCUUGGAUGAGGUGGGAAAGAGCAAGGCCUUGGCAGUCUCCCACCAGCACGACAGGAAUGACAUGGGACAGCUGGUGAGGCCAAGACUCCAUAUGGCUGGGAUGGCAGAUGCCAGGUAACUCCAGGAGUUACCUGGAGGUGAGCACAUUGGAACAGGACCCUGUGGGAUGAUCUUCAAGUUGGAUUUGUCUUGAAGGUCUACCGAGAGGAUGGAGGCCAGGGGUGGAGGGCUCUGGGUCAGAGGAGCCAGGGAAGCUGAUGGGGACAUGGUGGGAACAGCCUCUUCUGCAGGCUCCCUGCAUGGCUGCUGGGCUCCAGCAGGCACUGCCUGGCACACCUCACCAAGGGGAUCUGGACAUGAAUGAGGAUGAAAGUUGCCCUUGUCAGGGAAUCUCUGCAGGUGGCUGCAGGAGACAAGAGACACAAGCUCUAGCCAGGAGCUGACAGGGCCAGGCAGGGGUAGGCACCUGGGGCCAUGGCCCCUCACAGCCCCCAUUCUGACUUCACACUGCAUCUGCUGUCCCUCCGCUUGGGGCUGGAGCUGAACCCUGCUGCAAUGGCUCCCCCUCCCAGGCCAGCCCCAGCCUUCCUGCAGCCCUGGGGUCCCACUCUGUGCCCUGGAAGGAAGGAGAACCCAGGAGAGAUUCUUUACCUUUGCAGAUAUACAAUCAGGCCCCAAACCUGUACCAGCUGUCGCAGGCCAUCUCUGCAGGCUGGAAAUCAGGACACUGGGUCAUGGUGGUGAAGGCAGGGGCAUGAGGGUUUUACAGGAGGCUAGUCCCUUUAGGGGACACUUUUUUUGGGAGCCUGGAGCCCAAGCACCAGUGUCCAAGGCCAAAUGAAUCCUGACAGUGAUGGAGAAGCUCACAGACAGGUUUCUCAUUUGCAAAGUGCUUCCAUAACUACCCCUUGCUGCCCACACAACCACCAUGGGGUGUGUGUGUGGUGGGGGGAAGGGAGCAGGGAGACCUCACAGAGGAAUCCCAGCCAUGUGAAACAGCUUAUUCUCAGUCCAACCUGGAGGGUCCACCUCCCAAUCCAGGCACUCCUGGUCCAAGACAGCCCACAUGCCCCUGCUGGGUCACACCCUUUCCCAGGCUCCUCACAGGUUGAUUCCACAAAAGUAUCGGUUCCUGCUUUCCUUUCCUGAGGAUUCUGUUCCCUGAUGUUGGCAUCCUUAGGGACGAUGGAGCUGGUUCCUCAGGGCUGGGAGAGAUGGAAGCAGACUCUCAAGACACACAGGGCUGAUCGUGGAAGCUUACCUUUCAAGGCUCUAUUUCUCAUCCAACUCCUCCUCCUCACUAGCAGCUCCAUUUGUUGCUGAGAAACAGAAAAACAAAAACAAAGAGGGGCUGGUUCCCACAUCUCACUCUGCCUUCUCUAAAGCAUCAGACACUCAAUACAUUCCACGACCAGACAUAAUAGGACUUUCUCCAUGGAACUCAUGGAGCUCUGUGGGGUUUUUUUUCUUUCAUUCAUUUAAAAAGUGGACACAAAUAUUAUGUGUUCCUUCAUCAAAGAAGGCAAGGAAGGAUUUUCUAUGAGAUCUACUCUGGAUUUCUCGCAUCACUGUUCCUCUCCUCAAGAAACACACCUUUUCAGGUCUCUGCUCCCCGAGGUGGGGCACCAUCUGCUCAGAGGCUCCCAGGGGCCUCAGCACUGCCUUCAGAUCAGCCCUUGUUCAAGACACUUGUUUGUGGCUGGUGAACCAGUGCUCAGGGUCUUGACCUGUGGCUGAAAUUGAACUCUUAGUAUCCCCUCCUUGGCCGCUUGUCACUGCAUUUGGGACUAGCCCUGGAGGCCUCUCCCCUCCUGGGACACCUGGUCUGAGAUCUUUGGCUAGAAAUCCCAGCACCCACUCUAUACCCUGUCAGGCCUGGCUUGUCCCUAAGGCCUGUCUUGUUUCCUGAGACUAGAUGUCCUCUUCUUUCCCAUCUCAGGAGUCUCUCUAGUUGCUUCAGAAAAGUGAAAGUAAUACUAGAAAAGAGAGAAUCAUGUACUCUUGGGUCUGGGCCAUGAGUUCCUUACCUUUCUGAUGCUUCCAUGUGUCCUAGGUGGUAGUGAGGACGGAUCACUCCUGAGGUAGGGGAGUAGUAGGAAGAAGAGCCCCAGUCCACACACCAAGGCGAGGAUGGUUUCAUUCACCCAGGAAGUGGGACUGGGGUGCCAGCAAGGAACACAAAUGUUUUUCAGAAAAGAGAGAAGAUUCUUCAUCUCUUUUCUCUGAAAGGCUUUCACAUGAAAUAACACUGUUAACUCUCAUGUAACUGAACACUGUGAAUGAUCUUGCAGUUAGAGCCCCAGGCUCAUAUCACAGAACUGCAGCUACAUCACAAAGGGCUCUUGAGGGUGGGGGAGGGGACAGAAGAGGAGGAGGCUGGGCCAGCGCCCCUCCUCCACCACCCAGCCCCUCAGCUCUCUCAUUCCAGCCUCUUGGGCCUUCUAGACCUUAAUUUUCAGAUCAUUACACCUGAAAGCCAGGUAUUUCCACAGGUCUCUUGGGGAUCUUGGCUUGAGCCCACAUAUUUCCUAGCCUUUGAAAGUCUGAUAUUCUCCCAGGCACUUGGCUGUUUCCCAGGGACAAGUAUAUAAACUGUCAGCAUCUCCUCUGUCCACAAUUUCAUCCUUUUUUCACUUUGCCUAUUUACAUAUAAGUUGUACUUCCUCAGCAGAUUUCAAUGAUACAACACAGUGUUAUCAGCUCAUGUUGUACAUUAGAUCCCAAAACCUUCAUUUCAUAAUGAAGUCUGUGUCAGGGAGCAACCAUUAGGGAGUGUCCUUAUUGCCCUUCUCAGCCACUGGUCAGCAUUGCGGUGGGCCCUUCCCCCAAGCAAGUGACAGUGAGUGACCAUGAGCCCCUCCCCCUCUCCCCUUCCCUCUGUAUAAGCAGAGCCUGAAUUUGGACUGAGGCAAGAUGGGUUUUUGAGACACUAGUCUGCCAUCUUGUCGGUCUUCCAGCUUUCCACUUAAAGUUGCUAUUCCUUGUCCCAACAACUCCUCUCUGAAUUUAUUGGCCUGUUGAGUGGCACACAGAGCAGACUUGGGUUGGGUAUCAUCUGUACCCUGUUACUGGCCUCUUAUUUCCCUCAACCCUGCCCCUGGCAACCACCUCUCUGUUUCUAUGAGUCUGACUUUUCCUGGUAGAUUUCACAUGGAAGUGAUAAGGGGCUGUUUUUGUCUUUCUUUGUCUGGCCUAUUUCCCUUAGCAGGAUGUCCUUUAGAUUCCUCCACAUGGUUGCAAAUCUUAACUCUGUUUUUCCCAUGUGGUACAUUUUUGGCGUUCCUCAACCCAGAAAUGGAAUCUUAUUUUAUCCUGACUUAACGUUGAAUAUUUCAUUUGUGAUUGUUUCCAUCCACCUUUGCCAUCUUCACUCAGAACAACUGACACAAAAAUUCAAACAAAUGAUUUAUUACUUAAAAUUUUCAAAACUCCAUAUAAUAAGUAAACAUUAAACGAUAUGGUUUGUGUUAGUAGCAUUUAUACUUCUGAAAUUAGAAAAGCUUCACCAAGGCUUAUGGGACAUGCUGGACUCAUACAUACACACACACAUACACAUUUUGACAGGCCAGUGCAGUCAUUUCAAAUCCCAAAGUUAAACGUGUCCUCGUGUUCUUUAAAUUUUUGUGUGUGUAUGGUCUUGACCACAUUUCUUCUUACUCUGACCAGAAUGGACAGUCUCCAUUCUCCAAAGUCUAGAAACCUGUGUGGCACACCCAGAAGCUAGGGAUAGUUUAAUUGAACUCAAAUUCUAUUCUUUAGAGUGGACACUGGGGCUGGAGGCCCAGGGCCUGGGUUUGAGUCCUCUGAAGUAGCCUUUUCUGCUAUCGCUGGUGUGUUCUAUGCAUAGUCUUUUCUUCAGAGUACACAGUGCCUUCCCGCCUCUACCCCUCCACACUCCUGGAGCCUCACAUCUUGCCGGUACUUUCUAGAAAGGGUACUUUGAUUCUUAUAGGAAAUUCCCUUGUGAUAUCAUUGGACAUCGCUUUUGGCAGGUGGAAUUGGGUAUUCAUUUAGGGAUUGUACUUUUUAAUCACCACCUGGUGAGUUUUUCUUCAUAUAUGAACUAUUCAUUUGGCUGUACUGUCAUGAAUGUUCAUGUUCAAGAACACAUCUUUGGCAUCUCCUGUUGCUUUUGAUACAAUGUCUUCCCCCUUUAUGAUGUUGUCUGUGGGGCAUUAUGGUCCCCAGUGUGGACAACGAGGGUACCUGAGCAGUGUGGAGGGUCCUAAACUUGAAUGAGUAGCAUCAGUGGAGAUGAUGGUGGCUCCUGAUUUCUGCUUUGUUUGCGAGGGCACUUGUGAUGAAGAUGUGGGUCUCCUCUUGACCUAGAAGAUCAGGCUUAGGCACGCAAGGAAUCCACUUCCAGGAUGCUUCUGUGGGAUAAUAGACUCUAUAUUGGUCUCUGCCACCAGUGCCUGGCACCGAGCUCCUGAAACCCGUGUAAUUUCCUAGGUGAUAAGUGUGUCUUUUUGUUCUCAUGAGGUGAGUCUGGGUGGACUUCUGCAUGGCUUCAGGAUGAGGGCUGGUCAGAAGAAGACCAAGCCAUGAUGGAGGCUUGAAAGUUUUAGCCCCCACCCCAUUCUCUUGAGAAGGGAGAAGGACUGAAAAUGGAGAUGAUGGUUUAUCAUGCCCAAAUGAGGAAGUCCCCCCCCAAAAAAAAUCCCCAAGUACAGAAUUCAGAGAGCUUCUAGGUGGUUGAAUACAUUCACAUCCUGGGAGGGUGACGUACCCCAACUCCGUGAGGAUAGAAACUCCUGAGCUUGAACCCCUCUCAGAUAUCACACUGUGUAUCUCUUCAUCCAGCUGUUCAUUUGUAUCUUUUGUCAUAUCCUUUAAUAAGCUGGUAAAUAGAAGUAUUUCCUUGAAUUCUGUGUGCACCUUUAGCAAAUUAAUGGAGAAGGGCGUCUUGGGCAUCAUUUCAUGGGUACAAAUGAUUAAUUCUGUGAGCUCCUUGGUACAUAGGAAUGCUUGGAUAUUCAACUUUGUAGUUAUUGUAUAAUUUCAUAUACACAAACUUAUAGAUUAUGGAAAGAUAACCUUUUAAUUGAUAAAGAAGAUAGUAUUGGUUU
rnacentral:lncRNA from 1 species